rnacentral:rRNA from 1 species
UGAGUAACCUGCCCUUCUCAUCGGAAUAAGCGUUGGAAACGACGUCUAAUGCCGAAUAUGACCUCGGAAGGCAUCUUCUGAGGUGGAAAGCUCCGGCGGAGAAGGAUGAGCUCGCGGCCUAUCAGCUAGUUGGUGUGGGUAAUGGCCCACCAAGGCGACGACGGGUAGCCGGCCUGAGAGGGUGACCGGCCACACUGGGACUGAGACACGGCCCAGACUCCUACGGGAGGCAG